GCCAAUUUAGCCCGGGCCCGUAUAAACACAAAACCAAAGAAUAAUAAUAAACAAAAAUAUAUUAACAGUCCAUCAGUCCAAGUUACAUAACCCAAUUUUAAACCCAAAUUUACAAUGCCCAGCACCUAAUAUCAAUUAUUAGUCCGUUAGGCCCAGUAUUCUGAGAAAGGAAACCCUAGAAGCCCCGGCUCGCGCCACCACAGCAACCAGACAGUGCCUCUGUACGAUGCCAGUGCCUCAGCCCCAAUGCUGCUCAUGCCUCCACGUCGAUAGCCACGUACGCCCCCCUCAUGCCUAGUGCCAGCACACGCCCCGUACCUGCGAAAGAGAACAAGAGAAUAGCAGCCAAUAGGAGAACAAAAAUGUUUUUUGUUGUUUUGUUAUUCGGCUAUAAAUCCUUUCAUUUUUUCACUUGUAAUCUUUUUUUUUACGUGAGCAUUAGCAAAAAGAAAUAGGAAUGCAUAUUGUAUACAGAGAAUAGAAAGCAAUCGAAAAACGGAGAAGGUGAUUUCCCUUCCUUUUUGAACUCUCUGUUCUUCAUUUAUUUCAGUGGCCUUUCUUCAUCGUUUUAUACUCAAAAAGGGGAAAAAUAAAAAAGGAAACGAAACCUUACCUCGCGAAAGUGCUAGGGGUUUCAUCGACUUCGUUGAAAUCGGGGUAGAAAGUGCCAGGGGUUCCAUCGACUUCGUUGAAAUCGGGGUAGAAGGGAUCCUACGGCCGAAAUGACCGUCUUUUGAAGCCCGAGGCUGUUCGUCUCUGCCGAUAGACACAGAUCGGCGCUAAAUGGGAAGUGCUAGGGCUAGGCGAGGGGCAAGCAAAAUGGGGGCUAGGGC
rnacentral:lncRNA from 1 species